CCUCCAAUUUGGCGCCCAUUAAUCAAAGCUUAUCAAAAUUAUCUUUGAAACAAUUUUUAUGAAAAUCAUCAAAAGUGUCAUAAAUAGUUUUCUUCAGUUCAGAACAUAUUAAAUUAUUGACUAAACUCAUGCAAACAAAAUAUUUUUGAAUGUUAGCUGAAAGAUGAUUUGAAAAUUUUUGAAGACAUUUACAGUUCAUUUGACUGGAAACAAAUUUACUGGUCCUACUAGAUGUUUCAAUCAAAAUUUGCAAAUUUUGAUGACAAACAAGUUUUUAACAAAUAUUUUGAACCAUUCGUUUUCAAGCAGAGCCUUUUUUAUUAAUUAAUCAGUGUAAAUUUAGUCAAGAUAUUCUCUAAAAUUUUUAUUGCAAAAUAGCAAUGUGGAAAUCACAAAUUUUUCAUCAAUCAACAAAAACUUGAAAUAUAUCAAAGACUUUUCAAUUAAUUUCUAAAGAAUUACAAUAACCCUUAAAAUUGGAAGCUUUCUGCACAAUUAUUGGUAUCUUAAUGAAAGAAUUAUUUACAAAAAUUGCUAUUUUUUUUCAAGAACUUUAUAAUUAAAUUUAAUUUUACGGUGGAAGAAAAGGUUCAUCGGAAAUCUGUGAAAAGUAAGUUAACCAUAUAUAUUUUCGAUGGAAUAUAGUUUAAAAGCCAUCAAAUGAACAUGAAAAAAAUAAACCAGGCAAACAUUUUGAAAGGAGGUCUUAUCUUAACAAAAAUCUUGAACAGGUCUAAAUAGUUAGAUUCAACCUUUCUACUUCAAUCUUUUUUGAAAAACCAAACAAGUUUCAAAUAGUGUAGAAUGUUCUAUAUGUUAUUAAAAAUGUAUUGCAGAUUCUUAAAUUAUGUCUGCUCUGAGAAUUUUCGGCUAGGUUUAUAAAUUUAAACAUUAUCGAAGUUAUGAAAAAAAUACACAACAUUCUGUUAAACCACAACCACAAGAUAAAGCAAGAGCUCUGCUCGGAA